rnacentral:rRNA from 1 species
CCUACGGGAGGCAGCAGUGAGGAAUAUUGGUCAAUGGACGAGAGUCUGAACCAGCCAAGUAGCGUGAAGGAUGACUGCCCUAUGGGUUGUAAACUUCUUUUAUAUGGGAAUAAAAUGUUCCACGUGUGGGAUUUUGUAUGUACCAUAUGAAUAAGGAUCGGCUAACUCCGUGCCAGCAGCCGCGGUAAUACGGAGGAUCCGAGCGUUAUCCGGAUUUAUUGGGUUUAAAGGGAGCGUAGGUGGAUUGUUAAGUCAGUUGUGAAAGUUUGCGGCUCAACCGUAAAAUUGCAGUUGAAACUGGCAGUCUUGAGUACAGUAGAGGUGGGCGGAAGUCGUGGUGUAGCGGUGAAAUGCUUAGAUAUCACGAAGAACUCCGAUUGCGAAGGCAGUUCACUGGACUGCAACUGACACUGAGGCUCGAAAGUGCGGGUAUCAAACAGGAUUAGAUACCCUUGUAGUC